GACGUAGGGCGCGAGCGUUGUCCGGAUUUAUUGGGCGUAAAGAGCUCGUAGGCGGCUCGUUGCGUCCAUCGUGAAAACUCAGGGCUUAACUCUGAGCUUGCGGUGGAUACGGGCGGGCUAGAGUUCGGUAGGGGAGACUGGAAUUCCUGGUGUAGCGGUGAAAUGCGCAGAUAUCAGGAGGAACACCGGUGGCGAAGGCGGGUCUCUGGGCCGAUACUGACGCUGAGGAGCGAAAGCGUGGGGAGCGAACAGGAUUAGAA
rnacentral:rRNA from 1 species